rnacentral:rRNA from 1 species
GAUGAACGCUGGCGGCGUGCCUAAUACAUGCAAGUCGAGCGAACAGACGAGGAGCUUGCUCCUCUGACGUUAGCGGCGGACGGGUGAGUAACAUGUGUAUAACCUACCUAUAAGACUGGGAUAACCUCGGGAAACCGGAGCUAAUACCGGAUAAUAUCUUGAACCGCAUGGGUCAAUAGUGAAAGACGGCUUUGCUGUCACUUAUAGAUGGAUCCGCGCCGCAUUAGCUAGUUGGUAAGGUAACGGCUUAUCAAGGGGACUAUGCGUAGACGACGUGAGGGGCUGAUCGGCCGCAUUGGAACUGAGCCGCGGUCCAGGCUCCUACGGGAGGCAGCAGUAGGCAAUGUUCCGCAAUGGGCGAAAGCCUGGCGGAACAACGCCGCGCGAGUGAUGAAGGUCUUCGGAUCGUAAAACUCUGUUAUUAGGGAAAAACAAAUUUGUAAGUAAAUAUGCACGUCUUGACGGUACCUAAUCAGAAAGCCACGGCUAACUACGUG